UACGUAGGGGGCGAGCGUUGUCCGGAAUGAUUGGGCGUAAAGGGCGCGUAGGCGGCUUGAUAAGUCUGGAGUGAAAGUCCUGCCUUUAAGGUGGGAAUUGCUUUGGAUACUGUUGAGCUUGAGUGCAGGAGAGGUUAUCGGAAUUCCCGGUGUAGCGGUGAAAUGCGUAGAGAUCGGGAGGAACACCAGUGGCGAAGGCGGGUAACUGGACUGCAACUGACGCUGAGGCGCGAAAGUGUGGGGAGCAAACAGG
rnacentral:rRNA from 1 species